rnacentral:rRNA from 1 species
AUUGAACGCUGGCGGCAGGCCUAACACAUGCAAGUCGAACGGUAACAGGAAGCAGCUUGCUGCUUCGCUGACGAGUGGCGGACGGGUGAGUAAUGUCUGGGAAACUGCCUGAUGGAGGGGGAUAACUACUGGAAACGGUAGCUAAUACCGCAUAACGUCGCAAGACCAAAGAGGGGGACCUUAGGGCCUCUUGCCAUCGGAUGUGCCCAGAUGGGAUUAGCUAGUAGGUGGGGUAACGGCUCACCUAGGCGACGAUCCCUAGCUGGUCUGAGAGGAUGACCAGCCACACUGGAACUGAGACACGGUCCAGACUCCUACGGGAGGCAGCAGUGGGGAAUAUUGCACAAUGGGCGCAAGCCUGAUGCAGCCAUGCCGCGUGUAUGAAGAAGGCCUUCGGGUUGUAAAGUACUUUCAGCGGGGAGGUAGGGAGUAAAGUUAAUACCUUUGCUCAUUGACGUUACCCGCAGAAGAAGCACCGGCUAACUCCGUG